rnacentral:lncRNA from 1 species
AAUUGUUUCCCCAAGUCCCAACGGCUCUCUUGUUCUCUUCUCUUCUCCCCACCCCACACAAAACAAAACCCUAACGUUUCGUUUUUCCACAUCCAUUUUCAAUCACUGCCGUUAAUGGAUUAUACUCGAUUCAGUUUCGUAUUUGGGAACCGCCGCCGUCAGUUUCGUUGAUGGAUUCUACUCGAUUCAAUUUCGUUUUUCCACAUC